UUCUAAUUUCUUUUCCCUUUUUUACCUUCUUACGCGCUCGUGCUCUCUCUCUCCAAUUAAACUCCUUUCAGUUUCUUUCAUACCUAUCAAAACCCUAAUUGACAGUCGUAUUCAAUCAAAAUUGGAGUUUCUCAUACCUAUCAAAACCCUAAUUGAAAUAUCAACCAUGACAGAGGCAGGUAAUGACAGUCUUAUUCAACCAUGACAGAGGCAGCGAAACCAGGUAAAGAUUAUGGCUUUAUGUUUUCACAUGAAGAACCAAAUGAUCACCAGGUAAUCUUACAAUUGGGGUGCUACAAUCGAUCAUUGUGUAUUCAAUAUAAGUUUUGUUUUGUUUUGUUGUUUGAUUUUUAAAAUUUUGAUAAUCAUCGAAACGCGGUCGUAGUCGACUUCAGAUCUGAUGAUUACUAUGAGUAUAUUCUUAAUCGUGUUCAAAUAAUAACAAUUUUGUUACAAGUAUUGCUAAAUCUUCAAUAAUUUGUGUCGUGGGUUGUAUGGUUUACUUAUUUAACCUAUAUUUCAACCAAAAUUAAUCAUCCCUGUGGUUUUUUCUUUUAAUGAUGAAAAUAUUAUCUCUUUUAAAAGAGGCCAUGGUGAUUGAAUUGAAUGCAUUUGAGUGAAUUAAAGUAAUAUGUUUAUAAAUUAGCAUUGUAACUGUUUUUAUGGAAUGUUUUCACUCUAAUUCUAAAUCGAAUGUUGUAUACACUCAGAAUUCAACACAUUUAUGGACAGGGGCUGGUACCCUCUAUUCUAAUUUUCACCAUUGUUAUGGGCAGGGGCUGGUCCAUCAUACUGCAAGUUGUUUGUAUGAGAAUGUGUCAUUAAUUGGUUGCUGAUGGUUUUGCUCAUGCUGGUGCAUUUUCUUAGGAUAUGCUUGGUGCUUUUGGCUACAUUAUGAUUUUAGGCUAAUUGCUGCUCUUUGUUUAAGUUUUAGGUUUAUUGCUUUUUUCUACAUAUGUAAUACAAUAAUAUCAUGUUGGCUUUUUUCAAUAUAUGUAAUACGAUAAUAUCAUGUCAAUUCGAAAUCAAGAGAAUGAAUAUGGCCAUUCAUAAAGGUCUCAAACUCAGACGAAGAAAGAGGGUUGUAACUAAUAAUCUUUCAUGAAAGUCCCCACUUAGUGUAUGCAUGUGGUGUUGAUUGUGUCUCGUGUAUGUACUUCUAUACAUAUCAAUUUGGGUUUUUUUUUGUCUGCAUUUAUAUCUCCAGCCAAUUGGGUUGGGUUGGAAACUCAGAAUACAAACACUUUUUUUGUUAAUUGUUCAUUUUUUUUCUUCUUUUUUCUUAAUAAUUAAUGCAGGUUAGAGCAAUUUGUUAUGGGACAGCCACAUUUUUCAUGAUAAACUAUCCUUGCAGGUUAGAGCAAUUUGUUAUGGGACAGCCACAUUUUUCAUGAUAAACUACCUUGCAGACUAUUGCUUUGAAAAGCGGUGCCCUACGCCAAGAUAUCCAUUAUUGGUUAGGUAAAGAUACCAGCCAGGAUGAAGCUGGAGCAGCAGCACUGAUGACGGUCGAACUCGAUGCAGCUCUUGGAGGACGUGCUGUUCAAUAUCGCGAGGUACAAGGACAUGAAACCGAAAGAUUCUUAUCUUAAAAGGUAUUGGGACUUGAUAGUUUGAUUACUUUCUGUUUCUUUGUAAGUUCUUCAAUUAUAGCAUUCUGAUUGCUUUGAGCCGGCUUCUUAACCAGGUAUGUUUCUUCUCGACCCUCUCGAAUCGUGAUUGAUGUUCUCGAUCAUAUAUAUUUGUAAUGUUUGUCCGUUUAUUUUUUCUGAAGUAUUAUCAGUAUUUAGAAGCCGAAUUGUUUGUUGUACUUUAGAACCUACGGCUAGAGGUGUACAAAAAAACUGGUUUUAGAACCGAAACCGGAAAAAAAACCGAAACUGGUUUUUUUUAACCGGUUUUUUUUUAACCGCCGGUUUUUAUACCGGUUACUAUUCUUGACUUCAAAAACCGGUUAUUAACCGAACCGGUUAUUAAAAAACCGGUUAAAACCGGUAAAAAACCGGUUUUUUUGGGAAAAACCGGUUAAAAACCGGUCCCAACCGGUUAUACCGGUUAUUGUUUUGGACCUCAAAAACCGGUUAGUAACCGGAACCGGUUAUAAAAAAAACCGGUUUUUAUUUUGGGUGAAAAAACGGGUUUUUUUAAACCGUUUUUUUAAUAACCGAUUAACCGAUUUGUACACCUCUACCUACGGCCUUAUCCAGAAAGGUACUAAUUUCUUGCAUUUUACUAUACCCUCUUUUUACAUUGGUGAUUUAUCUAAUUGUAUGUGUUCAUGCGUAAAAAUGUAAGAUUGAUUCAUUAAUUUUGUUUAUAAACGAGUUGGGUAAUGGGUUGAAACUUUUAUUUAUAUGAUCUAAAUCGAACAAGAAUGGGCCAUGGGUUGGUGUGUUAACAGUUUUAUAAAAAAAAACAGAUCUUGGCAACUCACAUCCCAUUUUACUGUUCACAUAUUUGGUAGUUUAAAGAUAAAUCACAACCCAAAUGGACCCAUUCAUAGAUGGGUCAACUUCUACCUCUUUAUAUAUUUUUUUUAUCUAUAUACAGCUAAAAAGCCGUAUCUAUCUUUCCAAAGUGUUUUAUGUCACGUGUUACAUUAAAUCUAUUGAACGUAAGGGGAAAAUUGGGCCCAUGCUUUUGACUUCAAUAUAGAGUAGCCAGAAGCGUCAUCUCAAAUUACAGCAUUCAGGUCCAACGUGAAAAUGUAUAGCCAUCAUGCUGUGUUUGGUGAUUGCUAUGAUACGAUGCAAAAGGUGACAUGGCCACAUACUUUCUUUACGUAAAGAAUCAUGAUCAGAUCACAUCAUAUCAAUGAUAAUGAGGGCCGGCGGGAUGAGAUAUUUUAAGAAGGAAGAUGAGGGCAAACAGGAAGCUUCGAGUUUGGUUCCUUCAAGGCUUACAGGAAGUAGAUUUUGUCUCUUUAGUGGAACUGGUUAUUAAACAUGUUAAGAAGGAACUUGGGCUUGCAUUGAAGGGUAGUCAAAAGAUGGUGGGGUUGAAGCACCGGAGGUUGAUUGGCUUAAAAAGUUCAUCGAGUACAUGUGGCCUUGACAAGGCAAUAUGCAAGACUGCAAAGGAGAUUGCAAAGCCCAUUAUUGCUGAACAAAUUCCAAAGUUCAAAAUUGAUUCGGUUCAGUUUGAGCAUCUUACCUUAUGGUCGUUGCCUCCUACUUUUCAAGGUUACAUGGUUAAGAACUAAAAACCAGAACAGCUGGCCCAACCAUAACCUGUUCAUACGGUCUAUGUGUUGGUAUUAAGACUGGUCUGGUUGGUCCAACAAAAUAAAACUGGUCUAAACCAAGUGCUUGAGGCAUAGCAAGGAACCGAAACAAAUCAGUCGACAACAAGUGCCUUUCUCAUGCAGAUCCAACAAGUACAUUUCUGGCUCACUAAUGAAAAAGGGGACAAAGGAUUAUGGCAGUGUCGUGGAGUGUGUCACAGUGGAUGGCGAUAUGGUGUGGAUGGCGAUUAGUGAUUGGGUUAUUUCUUGCUUAACUGUUACUGAUGAGAUCGCUGGUUCGAUUCUGACCGGUGAUAUCGGUCCAUUUCAUGUCAGUUAGGUUCAAAUUUGCUGCCCGUUUUAAUUUUGUGCAGGUUCAAGUUCUGAACAUUGUGCAACAUGAUCUUGUGCAUAUAUGAAUUGGAGAAGAUGUAUGACAUAUGCAGUUUCAGUACAUUGGUUGCAGUUUCAAUCCGAAUUGGCCCAUUUUCACAUAAUAGCCACAUAGGAUUUAAAUCAUCUCCACGUUUAGAUAGAAGAUUCGUACUUUACCACCACAUCAAGGGACAAGGUAGUUGGUAGCUUACGGGUGCUGUAUCUUUUUGUUGGACAAUCACCCAACAGCAGUAGGUAGAUUUCGUAGGGAAUCCAAACCGAGGUCCUAAACAAUGCCUUUGUCUCAUUGUAGUUUACUAAUUUAUUAUUACUUCAACGGUUAUUUAAUUCAAACGAUUACUUCAAUAAAUUAAACUUAUUCAUU